UUCCGGUUGAUCCUGCCGGACCCGACUGCUAUCAGAGUGGGACUAAGCCAUGCGAGUCGACGUAGCAAUGCGUGGCGAACGGCUCAGUAACACGUAGUCAACAUGCCCAGGGGACGUGGAUAACCUCGGGAAACUGAGAAUAAACCACGAUAGGUCACGAUUUCUGGAAUGGAUCAUGGCAUAAAUCUACAUGGCCCCUGGAUUGGACUGCGGCCGAUCAGGCAGUUGGUGAGGUAAUGGCCCACCAAACCUAUAACCGGUACGGGCUCUGAGAGGAGAAGCCCGGAGAUGGGCACUGAGACAAGGGCCCAGGCCCUAUGGGGCGCAGCAGGCGCGAAACCUCUGCAAUAGGCGAAAGCCUGACAGGGUUACUCUGAGUGAUUUCCGCUAAGGGGAUCUUUUGGCACCUCUAAAAGUGGUGCAGAAUAAGGGGUGGGCAAGUCUGGUGUCAGCCGCCGCGGUAAUACCAGCACCCCGAGUGGUCGGGACGAUUAUUGGGCCUAAAGCAUCCGUAGCCGGUUCUGCAAGUCUUCCGUUAAAUCCAGCCGCUCAACGGAUGGGCCGCGGAGGAUACUAUAGGACUAGGAGGCGGGAGAGGCAAGCGGUACUCAGUGGGUAGGGGUAAAAUCCUUUGAUCCAUUGAAGACCACCAGUGGCGAAGGCGGCUUGCCAAAACGCGCUCGACGGUGAGGGAUGAAAGCUGGGGGAGCAAACCGGAUUAGAUACCCGGGUAGUCCAG
rnacentral:rRNA from 1 species